UACAGAGGGUGCAAGCGUUGUUCGGAAUUAUUGGGCGUAAAGGGCGCGUAGGCGGUGCUGUAAGUCUGUAGUGAAAUCUCUGGGCUCAACUCAGAGUCUGCUAUAGAAACUGCAGUGCUAGAGUGUGGGAGAGGUGAGUGGAAUUCCCGGUGUAGCGGUGAAAUGCGUAGAGAUCGGAAAGAACACUAACGGCGAAAGCACUCUGCUGGGCCGACACUGACACUGAGAGACGAAAGCUAGGGGAGCGAAUGGG
rnacentral:rRNA from 1 species